GUCGCUUCGCUUUUCUUGCCUCGGUGGGCGAAAGUAAAAUUUGAACGCUGUCUACCUCUUUUGAAGAUUUGGAAGUUAACCUGGAAAAUAAACUAGCGAAACCAGCUGAAUGAUGCUUGGAUGGAAAAUAACCAGUGAGAGACCUUCGAAUGAUCUUGUAGAGUGGGUAAUUUAGAAAUUUGAAAAUUAUACCAAGGAAGUUUCUUUGCCAAAGAAGUCUAGAUUGCAGAACUGGAAAAAGUUAAUUGCGCUCAUCAUGAUGUCAAGAUGCAAAAACGUGUUUGUGGAAGAACCUGAAGUAGACACUAAAAAGUUUGUAGAUCUGUUUGUGAGAUGACACGAGAAGGUCAGAUGGUACACCAACAGGUCAUUAACAUUGAUCCCAUGCACGACCUUCAGAACACCGAUUCCACCGGGUACAGGAACC